rnacentral:rRNA from 1 species
AACGCGAAGAACCUUACCUACCCUUGACAUGUCAGGAAAUUUGCAGAGAUGCGAAGGUGCCGAAAGGAACCUGAACACAGGUGCUGCAUGGCUGUCGUCAGCUCGUGUUGUGAGAUGUUGGGUUAAGUCCCGUAACGAGCGCAACCCUUAUCUUUAGUUGCCAUCAGGUGAUGCUGGGGACUCUAAAGAGACUGCUGGUGAUGAACCGGAGGAAGGCGGGGACGACGUCAAGUCAUCAUGGCCUUUAUGGGUAGGGCUACACACGUGCUACAAUGGUCGGUACAGAGGGCAGCCAACCCGCGAGGGGGAGCCAAUCCCAGAAAGCCGAUCGUAGUCCGGAUCGGAGUCUGCAACUCGACUCCGUGAAGUCGGAAUCGCUAGUAAUCGCGAAUCAGAAUGUCGCGGUGAAUACGUUCCCGGGCCUUGUACACACCGCUCGUC